rnacentral:tRNA from 1 species
GCAGUGGUGGUUCAAUGGUAGAACUCUUACCUUGCGUGAGGGAGAUCUGGGUUUUAUUCCUGGCCGAUGUA